rnacentral:rRNA from 1 species
CACGUAGGCGGACAUUUAAGUCAGGGGUGAAAUCCCAGGGCUCAACCCUGGAACUGCCUUUGAUACUGGGUGUCUUGAGUACGAGAGAGGUGAGUGGAAUUCCGAGUGUAGAGGUGAAAUUCGUAGAUAUUCGGAAGAACACCAGUGGCGAAGGCGGCUCACUGGCUCGUAACUGACGCUGAGGUGCGAAAGCGUGGGGAGCAAACA